CGCUGGUUCUCCAGCUUGAAAAGCGCCUCACCUGGGCUUGCCUUGUCGCCGCCAGGCCGGAGCGCCGCGUCCAGAUCGCCGCCGCGUCCCUUCCCGCCCCUGCGACUCUGUCUCUCCCAGUCCCGCAGACUCCAGGCUGAGGAACUGCUGCCGCGGAGCCAGCGGACUCCACGCCAGGCUGUUUUCAUUUGGGAUGCCCCAGAGGGCGGCAGGGGUUACUCCUGGCUCUGCACUCAGGCAUUUCUCCUGGCGGUGCUCGGGGGACCAUAUGUGAUGCCGGGAAUUGAACCUGGGUUGGCCUUGUGCAAGGCAAACGCCCUACCCACUGCGCUAUUGCUCCAGCCCUCAUAAUUCCUCUACCUAAAGUGCUGCUUGAAGAUGAGAACUGUAACAUGUAUGUUGCAGGACGCACGGAAGUAAAAGUGAAAUCAUCAGAGGAGGCCUUUGAAGUUUUCUGGAGAGGCCAGAAGAAAAGGCGUUUUGAGAACACACACUUGAAUCGUGAGUCCAGCCGUUCUCAUUGUGUGUUCAGCAUUCAAUUGGUUCAGCCGCCCUUGGAUGCGGAUGGAGACAGUGUCCCGCAGGUAAAGAUGGAGCGUGAGGAUUCUCUUCCUCUAAUUGAAUCCUGAAUUUCUGGACUUAGAGUUAGAUCUUUAUUGCAGUGAAGAUGGCUCAAAUUAAUUUAUAUGGAAGGGAUUUUUUUUUUUGGGGGGUGAAAGAGUGCUCAGUUUAUUUGAAAAAAAAUAGUCGAAGUCCAAGGAAAGAAAAUUUUCUGAAAUCCUUCCAUAUGCAAAAGUGGAAAAUGAAAACAGAUUCAACAAGUUAUUUCAAGCAUCUCAGAUGAUGCAUUAUUUCAAGUCCUCAGAGAAAUGUUUUGCAUGCCACCAAAAUUAUAAAUUUUGAAGCAUACUGUACUAUGCACGUGACAUUAUCAUUUUUUUUAAAUGUCAGUAAUUCUUUAUUUUUUUUAUAAUUUAUUUAUUUUUAAUUAGAGAAUCACCGUGAGGGUACAGUUACAGAUUUAUACACUUUUGUGCUUAUACUUCCCUCAUGCAAAGUUCGGGAACCCAUCCCUUCACCAGUGCCCAUUCUCCACCACCCGUAAACCCGGCGUCCCUCCUACCCUCCCCACUCCCAUCUCCCCCCCACCCCACCCUGCCACUGUGGCAGGGCAUUCUGGAAGGGAUUUUUUGAUUUGGGGCCAUAGUUGGCGAAGCUCAGAUCUACUCCUGGCAGGCUUGGGGGACCAGAGAUCUAACCCAAGUUGGCUAGGUGCAAACAUCCUCCCUGCUGCACCAUUGCUUGGGCUAUCAGUGUCUUUUUACUAGAGGAGAUGAAAUUAGAAUGUCUGAUUUGUUUCACUGUAGGAGACUCAUUUUAUAUAUGGAGAUUUUGCUCAUGACUGUAAGAUGUCAGAAAGUAACUUUUCAGCGAUGAGACUGUUCAGGAAGUGGCCUGUUCUGAAUGGUCCUUCUUUGGCCCAGGCCAAAUAGGGCCCUUCUGUCUGCUGAAUCACUAUUUACUGCUGAAUCCAUUGUGCGAUAAACCUUUCUUUACCAAUUUGUGCAAGUGUUUGAUCUGGACUGUGAAUAUUCAUCACUUUAUCGAGAUGAAUGGUCAAAAUGUGUCUUUAAAUUAUGCCACCAUAAAGAUUUCCAGGUGGCAGGAGGAGAUGGUAAGACAGGGUACUGAGGACCACAAGGGUUACUAGCUCUCUGGUCUUAAUUCCUCAUGGUGUAGUGAGGAUUAAGGGAGGUAGUGCAUGUAAACGUCAAGUGUUUAGCCCACUGCUUGGCUAUAGUAACAUCCCAUAGAAGGUCGCUAGAAAGUGCUUCUAAAUCAAACCACAUGGACUCUGGAUUUGGUUUUGGUUUUGGGCUACACAUGGCAGUGCUUAGUGAUCAUUCCUGGCAGUGCUUGGGGGGACCAUAAGUGGUGCUGGGGAUUGAACCCAGGUCAAGCUCAUGCAAGACAAUUGCCUUAGCUGCUAUACAAUUUCUCAGUUCUUUGAAUCAUAUAAUCAUAUAACUGUGAUAUGAGUUCAUAUCUUUGACCUUUGUUAUUAAUUAUUAAUAAUAAAUUAUUUGGCUACAAAGUCACAAAGUAUUAUAAGAAAUUUGUUCUAGACUCACUUUUUUAGACUUGUGGGGUUUUUUUGUAUGUGUGUGCUGUUUUUUGUCUAUGUUUUGGGGCCAUAUCUAGUAGUGCUCAGGUAUUAUUCCUGAAGCACAGGUCUCGGGGAACUAUAUGGAGUACUGGGGAUUGAACCCAGGUAGGACACAAGCAAGGCAAGAUCCUACCUGCUGUACUAUUGCUGUACUAUCACUGUACUAUCACACCUGCCUCUUUUUUGUUUUGGAGUCACACCUGGCAGUGCUCAGAUCUUACUCCCGACUGCACUAAGGGACUACUCCUGGCAGAGUUUGGGGACCUUGUGGGGUGCUGGGGAUCUGGACCUGCAUCUGCUGCAUUCAAG